UUCAUAUAGCGUUCAUGGAGUUCACUGAGCGUUUGCGCGGUUUGGCUGGUGAGGUGAAAUCACAUGUGAACCAAUGUACUAGUAAUUAUGUAGAAUCCUCUUUUCUCUUUUUCCCUGGGACAACAUGCCCUCCCUUUCCCUGAGUUCUGGGAUCGCUCCAGUCUUGUUCCUCGCCCUCUUUCCUGCCCUCGCCUUGACGCACCUGUCCCUCUAAACUAUAUGCUACAGCUUACCAGCCUAUAUCUCAACACAUUAGCCUGCUCAAGAUCCUUCUUUACAUUCAUGUUACCUCCAUUCUACCCAUACUUUAAAACAGGCCGGUCAGCGUAGGAUAGGCUCCCCCCUAUUGCCGGGUUCCUCCCGAGAUUUUUUCCCAUUGAGAAGUUUUUUUUUCUUGCCAACGUUUGUGGGCUCUUCUCCCCACGGGGGGAUUUUAAUUGAUUUAUUUUUUGGGGGUUCGGGCCUGGUUUUUGCUCUUUCACGGCUACUCUGUAAAAAGCGCAAUAGGUAGCCUACAACUCAAUUUCGUGCCAUGUAACAGCCGAGAAGGAAAAGGGGAUCAGCACGAGAUUGAGAUGUGGCCGCAGGAGCAAGUCGGACCGGUGCUUCAUGAAGAGGUCCUGUUCACGAAAACUAAGCAGAGAUUUCUAUCUUUAUGGUCACAUGGAUUCUCUGGCCAUAACUGGAUUAUGAGCGGAAAACAAGCUCUCGAAAUGAAGAGGACUUUGAAGUCGUCCGUGAGGCCCGUGAUGACCGCCUCCAUGCCGCCCAUCUGGAACGAGAGGCGGGGGAAAUAAGGAGAAGAGCGCAGGAGGAGGCGGGAACGGAGGACAGGACACUGACUACAGGAGCUGAUGAGGGAGCAAGAGAGCAAGCUUGGGGGUGUCCAUUGAGGGAUGUCUUGUACAGACACCGCAAUUGAAUGCUUUAAAACCAUCUUCUAAGUGUAAUUCUGUUAUUUUAGAAAUACUGAGAUAUUGCAGUGUGACCUUAAGAGUGACUCGUAUUAAAAAAUACAAAUAUAAUAUAACUUUUUUAUUGGUAAAAAUUCAAUACUAGAAUUAAAGCAGUGCAUCAUUGGAAAAUGUAGCAUUAAAACGGUGUCUGGACGUAUGGAACUUUUUCUCAUUUGAGAAAAUUUCAUCUACAGUACAUCAGCUGCUUGCCUAAAUGUGAUUCUAAAGGUCCUGGGGGAAAUUUAAAAAAAGAAAAAAAGAUAUUGAAGCCAGCGCUUUGUGAAUUAUCAUGGGUAUCUAUAUACAGUUCUUAGAGCUAUUUUUAUUCAAAAACUGCUGUAAGUUGCCUAUUUUUAUUACCUUGAAUAUAAAUGAGCAGCACCAUGUUCAUGAUCAUUAUCGUGAAUCUUUGUUUGAAAUUUCUGACUUAUCACGUAUGGCAACUGUUAUAAAACCACAUACGUUGAUUAAAUAUUAUGAGAAGUUUAAAUAGAGAUGACAUUGCCUGGCAAGAGCCAUAACCUGUAAAUUGAGAUGAUCAAAUAAACUGAAAAACAGC